CUUCGCCGGCACCCCCUCCAGUGGCGGCGCAGCGGGGGAGGAGGGCGGGAUCCCCCCGGCGGCGCGGCUAGGGUUUCCCCCCGUGUCGCCAGAGGAGGGCGACGCGGGGGUCGGGGGCUAGAGACCAAGGAGCUAGCUGAGUUAUAGUAUGGUCUCAAUCACCUGAUGUCAGCUGAUGUCAUUGUGUAGUUGUCUCAGCCCGUUUUCUUUUUCUAUGUGUGGCGGAAGCCCGUUUUGUUGUUUUGUCGGCCCGUUUUAUUUUUUUGACUUGAAAAAGCCUGGAGGCCCAAGUUGUUAUCCCGGUUGGUUGUUCCAGGUGUGUUGAUGGUUUUGCCUCCAGGGCACCUGAGGUCACGUGCCCCCAGGGAAAAAGAAUCCAACGACCCCAGCUGUUUGACCCCAGCUGUUUGAGUCCUUGUUCAAUCAGUUGUAACCUUGACAGCAAAAAAGAGAAAAUCUGUCAGGUUUUUUGAUUGCAAGAUUGAUUUCUUACUCCUCUCUUGGUCAGAGUGUUAGAAAACUGGAACAAAGACCAAAAAAGCUUGUCUGAUCUUUAUAUUUGUUACUCACACUGCAGCUACUGCAGAGGAGUAUGGAGACUACCUGCUUGCCAAUCAGUUAUCUAUGUAUCAUGAGCGCCAAUUUGAUUUGGAAUGUGGUCAGUCGAGCACGAUGCCUGGGAAGUCGUUGCAACAAUCGACAGAUGGAGGCCAAAGGAUACAAAAGACAUACGAGACAGGCGGUUCAAUGUGCCUGCUGAGCUAACUGCUGGGAGUCAACACUUGAGGUACACACUUCUGUCCAACAGGCUCAACGAUAUGGCCUCUGAUGGCGCAUCAACAAGUAGAAAAUAUCUAUAUGUUGCUGGGGAGAGUGAGAGGGUGCAACAGAGAUUGGAUGAGAUGACUAAAGAAGAUGAAGCUGCUGAAGCUGAGAAAACAAGUGUUGGACCAAAGAAUUCAGAAGUUCCACUCAUAGACCCGCAUCCAGAUGGUUAUGGGGACAACCUGCAAAAUCCCGAUGUUGCUAUCUCGAAAGGACGUCCACAAUCAGGGCGAUACAAAACCUUCAUGGAAACUUUGCGUGCCAAACCAAAAAUUCACUGUAGCCGAUGUGGUUCUGAAACCCACAACAUAUCUACUUGCACAGUAAUUGCUGAUAAUGUUGCCAAGGCACAGCGACAAAAAAGCACUCAAAAAAGUGCUUCAGGUCCCCUAGAUUUUUUCUCUGUUUUGUUAAAUUUAUGAUUUUUGUUUCUCUGUUGCCCACUUGCAAUUCUAAGAAUGUUUGCUUAUUGUGUUGGUAGCAGGUUCGAUGACAGCAGCAAAAACCAAUAAACCAUCAGGUGGGCGGACGAAGAAGAGCAAGACACAAAGCACAACAACAACAGGGGACAAAGACUGACUAGACUAUUUGAAAAAAAUAUUGUAAUAAAUUAGCAUUUUCAUAUAUUUUGGGAUGCAAAAAAACGCAUGGCAAGAGAAGAAAAAACAUUGUAACUGUACUUUGUUUAGCUCAUGUUGCUGCAUCUGA